AAUAUGUCGGUAAUAAAGUCGUAUAAGGCCGUGGGUCCGUAAUAGACGCGUUGGACGAUCUUACGGUUGACUGCUCACUUAGCGUCGCAUAUAUAUUUGCGUGUGUGGCCUCGUAACCACUCCGCCACGCCGCGCCGGUAGCGGUUUGCGUCGCGUUUCACUCGGCCGCACGGCGUGCGUUGUUCGCGUGUCCCCAACGCACGUAUACGGCCCCUGGGUCGUAACCCUCGCAGGCAUGGACCGCCAGGUGGACCGAGUGACCUGGGCAAGCAACGGUAAAGCUGUUGGUACAAGAUUCUCGGGACGGCCGGCACUCACGUACCUACUCGCGUGUUAUUGAAAAGCGGCAAGCAGCGAGAUAGAAAAGAAAGAGAUGCGAAAGAAAGGUUUUACUGUCUUCGAGAUGCUUGAUUUAUGAACGAUCGUCGGAGACGCGCAUAUCCAUGAUUAGAGAGCUGAUUGGUAUCCUCCCACUAAUGCACUGAUACAAAUUGAUCGAAAAAUAAGACAUAUUUCCAAUUGGAAGCGUAAAUUACACAUAAUAAAUCUAUAUUAUU